ensembl:lncRNA LUCAT1 lung cancer associated transcript 1
CCAGACCUCCAGAAACCAUGUGUCAAGCUCGGAUUGCCUUAGACAGGUGCAAUUUAAGAACAGCUUUCAUCCUCUUUUCUCUCAUAUUGUCACACUAUGUGUUCUGACUUCUGGCUCCUUUCCUCACAAGAAGCUCACCCAGCUGGAACUCUUAUGGGACCUUGGCACCAGAGACCACAAAUUCCUCUUUGAAGUUUUCUAACAGCAACAAUGGUAUUUCUGACUUGGCUUUCUUGUAUUUCUCUCACGUUAACAAAAUUGGUUCAGCAUCUACCAUGGGCUACAUGCUGAGCUACAGAGUUUCGCUCUGUCGCCCAGGCUGGAGUGCAGUGGCGCGCGAUCUCGGUUCACUGCAAGCUCCACCUCCCGGGUUCACGCCAUUCUCCUGCCUCAGCCUCCUGAGUAGCUGGGACUACAGGCGCCCGCCACCACACCCAGGAAUCCAACUUGCUGUUUGCUAUCACAUGUGCUAUACAUGCUGUUGAUGAAACUGCUAAAGGGGCUGAAUGUGACUGACGUCUUUGGAAGGAUGAGACUUAGCGUGCCUGUACAGUUGUGUCCAAAUGCUGUCCUCAUCUCCCAAUGAAAAGGGUUUUUCCUUAAGCCUCACAACAAUUUACAGCAUUGCCAGCAGCAUUCAGUACAUUCAGAACAGGAUAAUUUCACCCGCAGCUGAACUAGGGCCAUGCCUGGGACAGACAGAGAAUGGCCUUCCAGCAGACAUGCCAAGAAGCAAGCCAGGGUCAGUGAGUGAAGAGGAGGGCAGGCCCAUUUGAAGCAACACAGUUUAUGCCCCCAGGUUCUGCCUCUGUCCUGACAUCCAGUGUUGGAUUCCUCUUCACAUCAACUCCUCUCUGAACAAAACCCAUCAGAAGAUGUCAGAAGAUAAGGAUUUUUGUCCUGAUGCUACACUUACCAGCUGUCCCUCAGUGUUCUACUUCUUAAAAAAAGAGAGAUGGAUAAACAGAGGCAACCCGAGGAUAAAGGCCUUGCUCAGUGUCACACAUUUCAGUCACUAAAUAAGACACAAUGGAUGCCAGUAUUCUCAUCCCCUCACAAAUAAAGAGCCUUCAAGCUCUUGCAGUCAACAAGAACUUUUGGAAUGAUUUCACUGCCUGAAAAGGCAGAUACAUAGGUGACACCCACAAA